AGUGAACGCUGGCGGUAGGCCUAACACAUGCAAGUCGAGCGGCAGCACAGUAAGAGCUUGCUCUUACGGGUGGCGAGUGGCGGACGGGUGAGGAAUACAUCGGAAUCUACUUUUUCGUGGGGGAUAACGUAGGGAAACUUACGCUAAUACCGCAUACGACCUACGGGUGAAAGCAGGGGAUCUUCGGACCUUGCGCGAUUGAAUGAGCCGAUGUCGGAUUAGCUAGUUGGCGGGGUAAAGGCCCACCAAGGCGACGAUCCGUAGCUGGUCUGAGAGGAUGAUCAGCCACACUGGAACUGAGACACGGUCCAGACUCCUACGGGAGGCAGCAGUGGGGAAUAUUGGACAAUGGGCGCAAGCCUGAUCCAGCCAUACCGCGUGGGUGAAGAAGGCCUUCGGGUUGCAAAGCCCUUUUGUUGGGAAAGAAAAGCAGCAGGUUAAUACCCCGCUGUUCUGACGGUACCCAAAGAAUAAGCACCGGCUAACUUCGUG
rnacentral:rRNA from 1 species